UACGUAGGGGGCAAGCGUUGUCCGGAAUCAUUGGGCGUAAAGCGCGCGUAGGCGGCCCGGUAAGUCCGCUGUGAAAGUCCAGGGCUCAACCCUGGAAGCCGGUGGAUACUGCCGGGCUAGAGUCCGGAAGAGGCGAGUGGAAUUCCUGGUGUAGCGGUGGAAUGCGCAGAUAUCAGGAGGAACACCAAUAGCGAAGGCAGCUCGCUGGGACGGUACUGAUGCUGAGGUGCGAAAGCGUGGGGAGCAAACAGG
rnacentral:rRNA from 1 species